rnacentral:rRNA from 1 species
GACGGGGAGCACUACAACGGGUGGAGCCUGCGGUUUAAUUGGACUCAACGCCGGAAAACUCACCGGGGCGACAGCAAUAUGUAGGUCAAGCUAAAGACUUUACCAGAAUCGCUGAGAGGAGGUGCAUGGCCGUCGUCAGUUCGUACUGUGAAGCAUCCUGUUAAGUCAGGCAACGAGCGAGACCCGUGCCCACUGUUGCCAGCAUGUCCUUCGGGAUGAUGGGUACUCUGUGGGGACCGCCGAUGCUAAAUCGGAGGAAGGUGCGGGCUACGGUAGGUCAGUAUGCCCCGAAUCUCCCGGGCUACACGCGGGCUACAAUGACUGGGACAAUGGGCUCCUACCCCGAAAGGGGAUGGUAAUCUCAUAAACCCAGCCUUAGUUCGGAUCGAGGGCUGUAACCCGCCCUCGUGAAGCUGGAAUCCGUAGUAAUCGCGUUUCAACAUAGCGCGGUGAAUACGCCCCUGCUCCUU